GGCUCCGGGCGGCCGUGACCCUGCUGGAGUCCGGGGGGGACCUCCAGCCCCCCGGGGGGUCCCUGCGCCUCCUCUGCCGAGGGUCCGGGUUCAGUUUUGGGAGCUAUGCCAUGCAAUGGAUCCGCCAGAGACCCGGGCAGGGGCUGGAGUGGAUUGCAGGGAUCACCAACAAUGGUGGUUGGACCGGCUCCGCGCCAUCGCUCAAGGCACAACCAUCUACGCGCCGUCGGUGCGGGGCCGGGUGACGAUCUCCAGGGACAACAGGCAGAGCUCGGUGACGCUGACCAUGAACAGCCUCACGGACGACGAUUCCGGAUCCUAUUUCUGCGCCAAAGCUUCUUGCUUCAGUUAUGUUCCUGCUCCUGGUUAUGUUGAUGAUGCCCGUG